UACGUAGGGUGCAAGCGUUGUCCGGAAUUAUUGGGCGUAAAGCGCACGUAGGCGGCUUUGCAAGUCGGAUGUGAAAUCCCUCGGCUUAACCAAGGAAGUGCAUCCGAAACUGCAGAGCUUGAGUACUUAAGAGGAUCGCGGAAUUCCUGGUGUAGCGGUGAAAUGCGCAGAUAUCAGGAGGAACACCGAUGGCGAAGGCAGGUCUCUGGGCCGAUACUGACGCUGAGGAGCGAAAGCGUGGGGAGCGAACAGG
rnacentral:rRNA from 1 species